GGGGGGAUGACCGAGCGGUCGAAGGUGACAGACUGUAAAUCUGUUAGGGCAUCCUCACGUCGGUUCGAAUCCGACUCCUCCCA
rnacentral:tRNA from 1 species